UGGGGAAUUUUGGACAAUGGGCGAAAGCCUGAUCCAGCAAUGCCGCGUGUGUGAAGAAGGCCUUCGGGUUGUAAAGCACUUUUGUCCGGAAAGAAAUCCUUGGCUCUAAUACAGUCGGGGGAUGACGGUACCGGAAGAAUAAGCACCGGCUAACUACGUGCCAGCAGCCGCGGUAAUACGUAGGGUGCAAGCGUUAAUCGGAAUUACUGGGCGUAAAGCGUGCGCAGGCGGUUUGCUAAGACCGAUGUGAAAUCCCCGGGCUCAACCUGGGAACUGCAUUGGUGACUGGCAGGCUAGAGUAUGGCAGAGGGGGGUAGAAUUCCACGUGUAGCAGUGAAAUGCGUAGAGAUGUGGAGGAAUACCGAUGGCGAAGGCACGCCCUGGGCCAAUACUGACGCUCAUGCACGAAAGCGUGGGGAGCAAACAGGAUUAGAUACCCUGGUAGUCCACGCCCUAAACGAUGUCAACUAGUUGUUGGGGAUUCAUUUCCUUAGUAACGUAGCUAACGCGUGAAGUUGACCGCCUGGGGAGUACGGUCGCAAGAUUAAAACUCAAAUGAAUUGACGGGGUCAUAGCUGUUUCCU
rnacentral:rRNA from 1 species